rnacentral:rRNA from 1 species
GAUGAACGCUGGCGGCGUGCCUAAUACAUGCAAGUCGAGCGAACGGACGAGAAGCUUGCUUCUCUGAUGUUAGCGGCGGACGGGUGAGUAACACGUGGAUAACCUACCUAUAAGACUGGGAUAACUUCGGGAAACCGGAGCUAAUACCGGAUAAUAUUUUGAACCGCAUGGUUCAAAAGUGAAAGACGGUCUUGCUUUCACUUAUAGAUGGAUCCGCGCUGCAUUAGCUAGUUGGUAAGGUAACGGCUUACCAAGGCAACGAUGAAUAGCCGACCUGAGAGGGUGAUCGGCCACACUGGAACUGAGACACGGUCCAGACUCCUACGGGAGGCAGCAGUAGGGAAUCUUCCGCAAUGGGCGAAAGCCUGACGGAGCAACGCCGCGUGAGUGAUGAAGGUCUUCGGAUCGUAAAACUCUGUUAUUAGGGAAGAACAUAUGUGUAAGUAACUGUGCACAUCUUGACGGUACCUAAUCAGAAAGCCACGGCUAACUACGUG